rnacentral:rRNA from 1 species
AACGAACGCUGGCGGCAUGCCUAACACAUGCAAGUCGAACGAGACCUUCGGGUCUAGUGGCGCACGGGUGCGUAACGCGUGGGAACCUGCCCUUAGGUUCGGAAUAACUCCCCGAAAGGGGUGCUAAUACCGGAUAAUGUCUUCGGACCAAAGAUUUAUCGCCUUUGGAUGGGCCCGCGUUGGAUUAGCUAGUUGGUAGGGUAAAAGCCUACCAAGGCGACGAUCCAUAGCUGGUCUGAGAUGAUGAUCAGCCACACUGGGACUGAGACACGGCCCAGACUCCUACGGGAGGCAGCAGUGGGGAAUAUUGGACAAUGGGCGAAAGCCUGAUCCAGCAAUGCCGCGUGAGUGAUGAAGGCCUUAGGGUUGUAUAGCUCUUUUACCCGGGAUGAUAAUGACAGUACCGGGAGAAUAAGCUCCGGCUAACUCCGUG